rnacentral:tRNA from 1 species
GUGAGUGUAGCUCAAAGGCAGAGCACCUGGCUGUGGCCCAGGUGGUUGUGGGUUCGAUUCCCAUCACUCACCCCA